rnacentral:tRNA from 1 species
GCAUCGGUGAUUCAGUGGUAGAAUGCUCGCCUGCCACGCGGGCGGCCAGGGUUCGAUUCCCGGCCGAUGCA